UACGGAGGAUCCGAGCGUUAUCCGGAUUUAUUGGGUUUAAAGGGUGCGUAGGCGGCUUUGUAAGUCAGUGGUGAAAUCCUGUCGCUUAACGACAGAACUGCCAUUGAUACUGCAGAGCUUGAAUAUGUUUGAAGUGGGCGGAAUGUGUAGUGUAGCGGUGAAAUGCUUAGAUAUUACACAGAACACCGAUUGCGAAGGCAGCUCACUAAACCAUUAUUGACGCUGAGGCACGAAAGUGUGGGGAUCAAACAGG
rnacentral:rRNA from 1 species